UAUCUUGUUUGUAUCCUAAUGAUCUUAUCGCCUGUAAAGAUCGCCUUCGGGUGGCGAGCAAAACUCCUGUAGCCUGAAAGGGAGAGCAAGCAUUGCGGUACAUCUGCGCACUUUUGGAAGCAGAUAUCGUCGGAUAAAUAACCA
rfam:Xenorhabdus vietnamensis strain DSM 22392 Xvie_1, whole genome shotgun sequence.